CGGGCGCCCCGCUCCAGCUCUGUUGGGCCGCGCCGCCUGUGGGUGAGUCAGCAGCGCCAGCGCCUGCCCCGGCCUGAUAAGUGUGUGUGCCUGUGAAUGUGUGCGUGUUGGGGGUGGCCAGGGAGGGCUCUGUGUUUGUGAGUUUUGUGCGUAGGGAGUACAUAUGGUGGUGUUUUUGUGAUCUUGGCCUUGUUUGUGUCUCUCAUUUUUGUGUAUUGGGGGGCGGGCAUGUGUGAGUUUGACGGUGUGCCUGUGUUGGUGAGUUUGCUUAAAGGGUGUGACUGUGUUUGUGUCUCUUUGUGUCUUAUAAACAGGUUGCCCUCCCCCUCGGGGCUCUGGGGACCUAGAGAGCCCUGCCCUGCCCUGGGGGCUUCUGCGUCUAGCAACCUGUGUGUGUUUCUAGCUGAGGCGACUUGUGCACUUGUGUGGGUGAACGUGGUCUAGUCGGUCACUGAUGGGGGCUCGUGCUGUCACUGCCUGGGCUGCAGGGCCCCUGCCCCCUGCCACUGCCUGUGAAGUCUGUGCCUCCUCCCUCCCCAGUCUGCCGCCUGAGAUGCCCUUGUGAGGGGAGACUCCGCGGAAGGCAGCUUCUGUUUAGCGAUCACUACUGUUUUACCUGCCUUCUCUCAUUGAUCUCACUGGAUCCUUACAGCCAAAAACGCUCUGAAGAGAGUCUGAGACUCAGAGAAGGGAGGUGACAGCCCAAGGUCACACGGCUCUCAAGUCCUGGAGGGCUUGAUGGUGACAGGCAGGGGGCAGAUCUCGCCUCUAGGCUGAGCACCCAGUUUGCCUGGGGCCUGUGGGGAGCUGAUAAGCUCAGGGGGCAGGGGAGGGAAGCUGUUUGUGUCUCCCCCUCCUCCUCUGAGUCCUCCUGGGCCUCCAGCCAACUGCUUAUCCUUCCAGAGGCUGGACACUGCCACCAGCUUCCACUGGGUGAUUGGUCUUGAGUUGGGUGAUAAAGAGGCCAGGGGACCUGUUGUGGGGGGGAGGCAGAGAACCAAUAUGGGAGCAUCUGUUCCUUCAACAUAACUUUGUUGAGCACAUUGUUAAAAACUGAGCAAUACCCUGCGCAGUCUCAGAGGGGAAGAGAGCCACAAGGAAUGGUGGAGACAGAGUGGGAAGCUGAGGCCUGAGACAGGGCUGUGGCUGGAAUCUGUUGCAGGUUGGAAUCCUGACUCCAUUUACAGGGUGGGUGUGUGACUUGGCCAGUCAUAUUUCUCUCCUAGCCUGUCUCCUCAUCAGUCAAAUGAGGUAAUGGCACUUAUCCUACCUGCCUCUCCCAGCUCCAGGAUACUGCAAGGCAGAGCCACUACUUGUAAACUGAGAGUUGCUGUCCAUACAUAAUGGACAUUCCUGAUCUCCUAUGAGAAAGACGCUAAAGCAGCUUAUACCCAGAGCCCAGAGAGGGGAAAGGAUCCCAUCUGAGGGAUUAGGGAAUACUGCCUGGAGGAGGUGACCUUCCAGCUCAACUUUUAAGGAUGAGUUCACUAUAUGGAAAUGGAAGAGGGCAUUCUAGGUGGAGGAACAGUCUGUACAAGGGCCUGGCAGUAGAAUAGUGAACAUGUGCUCGGGGAACAGAAAAUGGGCCGGUAUAUUUGGAGCACGGAGUGAAUCAUGAGACCAAAUUCUGGAAGGCCUUGAAUGCCAGGUUAAGACUGGGGCAGGUGGGUGAGAGGAGAUACUGACAUUUGGGGAUUGCAGGGAGUCUUUUUGGUGGAGACAGCCGCAUUCUAGCUGGAGUGUGGCAGUCACUUUGGGGGUUGAGACGGUGGGGGGAGUUGGUGGGCAGUGGUUCAGGGACCCCUCCCCAAAAGGAGCCAUUUGAAACCUGAGGCACAUCCUCAAGAUGACAUCAAGGUGAGCAAGAGGCUGCAGAGCCCCCUCCGAGGGAAGGAUGGGCGUCAGCAGGGAUGGAGAAAAAGCCCAGUCAGGUGCCCCAGUCCAGGAAAGGACCCGUGCGUAGGCACAGAAGGUGCCCACCGAUGAAUAUGUAAGGUCCCUGAGUUUGCUGCAGUUUGGGGAGGGGGCCAGUCCCACCAGAAGAACUCGUUCCCAGAGAAGGCGUCAUCUCCAGGACCCCCUGUUGAAACAGCCAGUGAUUGCCAGGGUCUUCACUAACCUGCUCCCAUGAGAUAGCCCUAUUUUAUGGAUGAGUAAAAUGAGGCUGCGAGAGGUGAAGUGGUCUGCUGGCGAUCACACAGCCAGUCAACGGCAAGGCUAAGGCUUGAAGGCAGCGUUCCCUGUUUCCUCUGAGGGCAGGAAGGAGGCUGUGGAAGUGUUUGGGGAAGGCUAAGAUUCUGGACCAGAGAACCGUGGAGGAGCAGGUGCCUGGAGAGGAAAUAUGGUGUCUGCCGCCACCUCGCGGUCACAGAGCUUCUGGAGGGAAGAAACAUAUGACCUUGUGAACACAAGGUCAAGGUCCCUCCUAGGACCUAUGCAAGUGUGAGGCCUUGCCGGACACAUAAUCCUCAAGGUAAGUCCACCCCUAGGCCUGGCAGGGUCAAGUACGAGGUUUCCCACAGGAAAUUUGGGAAUUCUGAAGCCAAGCAGGAUCUGGGUUCAUGUCUCCCAGCCCCCGGCCGCAGGCAGGCCUUUCACCCAGAUCUUCCAGAGCUUUCUACCUGGAACUGAGUCCAUACUCCUCGCACCUUCCAUGUGGCCACAUCCUCACAGUUGCCUUGCUCCAGCCAGGAUGCUCAGGGAUCCUCUGUUCUGUCCAAUUGAAUCCUCCUUUGCUCUCCAGGCUUGGAGGUCCAACCCCAUAAACCCCAGGAAGCCUUCUCUGCCUGCCCUUGCCUCUCAAGACAGAGCCAGCACUGUGGUCAGUACAGAGCUGUUGUCUCAGUUCCUAUCAGUUUGCGGCGGCCCACAUGUGGUCAGUCCAGAUUGACACAUCCUGAGCCCUUCCUCUUGCAGCCAGACCUGGGGGAUGCGGGUUGGGAGACAGAGGACUCAGACCCAGUCCCAGCCCUCCUCCAGCUUAUAAUCUGGUGGUCAAGUAAGACAUGGACUGAGUCUUAAAACUUUCAGGCCUGAGAAUAACUUAGAGAUCAACUAGUCCAAGUGACCAUCAGAGUGAUUUAGCCACAGAAGCCCAGUGUGGGAAACACUGUGGGAAGCAGGGCUGUUCUGAGGGAAGCAG
rnacentral:lncRNA from 1 species